rnacentral:rRNA from 1 species
UGGCGGCGUGCUUAACACAUGCAAGUCGAACGAGAAGAGAUGAGAAGCUUGCUUCUUAUUGAUUCGAGUGGCAAACGGGUGAGUAACGCAUAAGCAACCUGCCCUUCAGAUGGGGACAACAGCUGGAAACGGCUGCUAAUACCGAAUGCGUUCUUUUUGUCGCAUGGCAGAGGGAAGAAAGGGAGGCUCUUCGGAGCUUUCGCUGAAGGAGGGGCUUGCGUCUGAUUAGCUAGUUGGAGGGGUAACGGCCCACCAAGGCGACGAUCAGUAGCCGGUCUGAGAGGAUGAACGGCCACAUUGGGACUGAGACACGGCCCAAACUCCUACGGGAGGCAGCAGUAGGGAAUUUUCGUCAAUGGGGGGAACCCUGAACGAGCAAUGCCGCGUGAGUGAGGAAGGUCUUCGGAUCGUAAAGCUCUGUUGUAAGAGAAAAACGGCACUCAUAGGGAAUGAUGAGUGAGUGAUGGUAUCUUACCAGAAAGUCACGGCUAACUACGUG